UCAGGACGAACGCUGGCGGCGUGCUUAACACAUGCAAGUCGAGCGGAAAGGCCCUUCGGGGUACUCGAGCGGCGAACGGGUGAGUAACACGUGAGUAACCUGCCCCUGGCUCUGGGAUAAGCCUAGGAAACUGGGUCUAAUACCGGAUAUGACCACCUUCUGCAUGGUUGGUGGUGGAAAGUUUUUCGGCUGGGGAUGGGCUCGCGGCCUAUCAGCUUGUUGGUGGGGUGAUGGCCUACCAAGGCGACGACGGGUAGCCGGCCUGAGAGGGCGACCGGCCACACUGGGACUGAGACACGGCCCAGACUCCUACGGGAGGCAGCAGUGGGGAAUAUUGCGCAAUGGGCGAAAGCCUGACGCAGCGACGCCGCGUGGGGGAUGAAGGCCUUCGGGUUGUAAACCUCUUUCACCACCGACGAAGCUAACGUGACGGUAGGUGGGGAAGAAGCGCCGGCUAACUACGUGCCAGCAGCCGCGGUAAUACGUAGGGCGCAAGCGUUGUCCGGAAUUAUUGGGCGUAAAGAGCUCGUAGGCGGUCUGUUGCGUCUGCCGUGAAAACCCGAGGCUUAACCUCGGGCCUGCGGUGGAUACGGGCGGACUAGAGGUAGGUAGGGGAGAAUGGAAUUCCCGGUGUAGCGGUGAAAUGCGCAGAUAUCGGGAGGAACACCGGUGGCGAAGGCGGUUCUCUGGGCCUACCUGAC
rnacentral:rRNA from 1 species